rnacentral:rRNA from 1 species
CCCUUAGAUGCCCUGGGCUGCACGCGCGCUACACUGAUGUGAGCAACAAGUAUAUUUUCUUGCCUGAAAUGGUGUGGCAAUCUAGAAACUGCAUCGUGAUGGGGCCUGUUCAUUGUCAUUAUUGAUCUUAAACGAGGAAUUCCUAGUAAGCACAAAUCAUCAGUUUGUGCUGAUUAUGUCCCUGCCCUUUGUACACACCGCCCGUCGCACCUACCGAUUGAAUGGUCCGGUGAAGCCUCCGGAUUGGCGCGCACCUCGGUGCCGCCGAGAAGUUGGCUAAACCUUACCAUUUAGAGGAAGGUGAAGUCGUAACA